rnacentral:rRNA from 1 species
UACGGAGGAUCCAAGCGUUAUCCGGAAUCAUUGGGCGUAAAGCGCGCGCAGGCGGUCCUUUAAGUCUGAUGUGAAAGCCCACGGCUCAACCGUGGAGGGUCAUUGGAAACUGGGAGACUUGAGUGCAGGAGAGAAGAGUGGAAUUCCACGUGUAGCGGUGAAAUGCGUAGAGAUGUGGAGGAACACCAGUGGCGAAGGCGACUCUUUGGCCUGUAACUGACGCUGAGGCGCGAAAGCGUGGGGAGCAAACAGG